rnacentral:lncRNA from 1 species
CCUCGAGUGGCAGAACUCCAAGAACUAGUUCGCCCUAACUGAAAAGUUGACCUGGACUGCCUUAUUAACCCUUUUCUCAAUUUCUUAUUCUUUGACACAAGAGCUAGAGAAUGUCUCAAAUCUUUAAUCAUCUCAUUAGCAAUUGGGGCACCACAAUCUUUCAUCGACCUGAUCAUGGUGAUAGAAUCCUCUGAAUCUUCCGUGUGCAAAGUCACUUCACAAGAUUUUUCCUCAACAUUGUUCUUGAGAUUGAUAAGGUUGGGAGCUGCACUCUGAGUAUGAUGUUGAAUGUAGAAAAGACCCAUGGAGGGCUCAUUUGCGAUCAACUUUAUCAAGUGGCAGGACUCCAUGAACUAGUUCGCCCUAACUGAAAAGUUGACCUGGACUGCCUUAUUAACCCUUUUCUCAAUUGCUUAUUCUUCGACACAACAGCUAGAGAAUGUCUCAGAUCUUUAAUCAUCUCAUUAGCAAUUGGGGCACCACAAUCUUUCAUCGACCUGAUCAUGGUGAUAGAAUCCUCUGAAUUUUCAGUGUGCAAAGUCACUUCACGAGAUUUUUCCUCAAUAUUGUUCUUGAGAUUGAUGAGGUUGGGAGCUGCACUCUGAGUAUGAUGUUGAAUGUAGAAAAUACCCAUGGAGGGCUCAUUUGCGAUCAACUUUAUCAUGUCUGCCAGGGAUUCAGUUAU